rnacentral:rRNA from 1 species
UACGUAGGGGGGCAAGCGUUGUCCGGAUUUAUUGGGCGUAAAGAGCGUGUAGGCGGCUUUACAGGUCCGUUGUGAAAACUCGAGGCUCAACCUCGAGACGCCGGUGGAAACCGUAAAGCUAGAGUCCGGAAGAGGAGAGUGGAAUUCCUGGUGUAGCGGUGAAAUGCGCAGAUAUCAGGAAGAACACCCGUGGCGAAGGCGGCUCUCUGGGACGGUACUGACGCUGAGACGCGAAAAGCGUGGGGAGCGAACAGG